rnacentral:rRNA from 1 species
CCUACGGGGGUCAGCAGUGGGGAAUAUUGGACAAUGGGGGGAACCCUGAUCCAGCCAUGCCGCGUGUGUGAAGAAGGCCCUCGGGUUGUAAAGCACUUUCAGUGAGGAAGAACGCCUGGUGGUUAAUACCCAUCAGGAAAGACAUCACUCACAGAAGAAGCACCGGCUAACUCCGUGCCAGCAGCCGCGGUAAUACGGAGGGUGCGAGCGUUAAUCGGAAUUACUGGGCGUAAAGCGCGCGUAGGUGGCUUGAUAAGCCGGUUGUGAAAGCCCCGGGCUCAACCUGGGAACGGCAUCCGGAACUGUCAAGCUAGAGUGCAGGAGAGGAAGGUAGAAUUCCCGGUGUAGCGGUGAAAUGCGUAGAGAUCGGGAGGAAUACCAGUGGCGAAGGCGGCCUUCUGGACUGACACUGACACUGAGGUGCGAAAGCGUGGGUAGCAAACAGGAUUAGAUACCCUUGUAGUC